CACGCAUGACACACUGCAUAUCAAUAAGCGGAGGAAAAGAAACUAACAAGGAUUCCCUUAGUAACGGCGAGUGAAGCGGGAAGAGCUCAAAUUUGAAAUCUUCAAGGUUUUACCUUACGAAUUGUAGUUUAAAGAAGUGUUUUCUGUUGGAGUUUUGGUAAAAGUUCUUUGGAGUAGGACAUCAUAGAGGGUGAGAAUCCCGUAUUUGACCAUUAUUUCCAGCUGUGUGAUACACUUUCAAAGAGUCGGAUUGUUUGGGAAUGCAGUCCAAAAUGGGUGGUAAAUUUCAUCUAAAGCUAAAUAUUGGCGAGAGACCGAUAGCGAACAAGUACCGUGAGGGAAAGAUGAAAAGAACUUUGAAAAGAGAGUUAAACAGUACGUGAAAUUGUCAAAAGGGAAGCGUUUGACACCAGUGUUGUUUUCUCGAAAAUCAAUUAAAAAUGAUGGGAUUUUGUGUUGUAUUGACUUUAUCAGCUUUCUGCACUUUUUUCUUAUCUUUUUUAAUGCACUUUUCGUUUAACAAGUCAACAUCAAUUUCUUUUGUUGUAAAAGAGCCAUUGGAAGGUGGCUUUUUCUUCGGAAAAAGUGUUUAUAGCCUUUGGCUUCUGCAAUCGGAGAGAUUGAGGUCUGCAGCGUAGAUCCUUCGGGGUUAGAUACAUUUGUGCUAAGCUAUAGUUCUUUAUAGACAACUUGUUGACUAUAAUCAAUCCUGUAACUUACUCGCUUAUGCUAUUUUACCUACGCUUAGGAUGUUGAGCGCAUGUCUCUCUCU
rnacentral:rRNA from 1 species